UCUUGUAAUUGAGGCUAACAUUUAUAUAGAAAUGUCCAUUUUCUAUACAAAUUACAUUUUUUGUGUGAUAUUUUUGUAGAAUUAAUCUACUGUGAUAUUGGUAUGUUAUGCAGGGUAUUGGAAUAUUAAAAAUAAUUAAUAAAAUUAAUUAUACAUUAUAGCAAAAAUACACUAAGUGAGGUUAUUUCUGUAUUCAAAUUCUCCUAUAUUUUCUUUAUAAUAAUAAUAAUAAUCCCCAUUGGGUGUGGCAGUUGAGUGUUAGUCAGUGGGGUGCGGCAGUGGGACUUGAGUGCUCCAGUGAAGCUGAAAGCUGUACUGGUGGUAGGGCAAACUACUGGCAGGUUCAAUCAUGCCAGAGAGAUCAAAGUUGAAGAACAAGACUAAUUGCACUCAACCCAUUUGACCCAAUGGAGAAAUAAGCUAAAAAGAACUCUAUACUGGCUCAGUUGUCACCCAGGAUAAAAAGGGCUGUGGCAAUUGUUGAGGAACCUGGGCAGCCAUUGACAAGUGGGCUACAGGAACAAAAUGCACAAAUACAGAAGUAGCAGAAAUACUCAAUGUCAGAGAAUCGCUCAGUCAUGAAAUACCACUAUGCAUCAGAACCCGAAAAUCGUGGCUACCAAAAAACGAUGUACCAAUUGUGGAAACUGGAAUAUCCAGAAUUGAAUAUAACAAAACUGCAUCUAGCAGAGCAGAACUUGUGCCAGAAAUACCUCCUGCCAGGGGUGAAAGAAUUGGUGGGAUCACAAGGAAAAAGUGGUUGAAAACGAAC
rnacentral:lncRNA from 1 species